rnacentral:rRNA from 1 species
UACGGAGGGUGCAAGCGUUGUCCGGAAUCACUGGGCGUAAAGGGUGCGUAGGCGGGUCUUUAAGUCAGGGGUGAAAUCCUGGAGCUCAACUCCAGAACUGCCUUUGAUACUGAGGAUCUUGAGUUCGGGAGAGGUGAGUGGAACUGCGAGUGUAGAGGUGAAAUUCGUAGAUAUUCGCAAGAACACCAGUGGCGAAGGCGGCUCACUGGACGACUGUUGACGCUGAGGUGCGAAAGCGUGGGGAGCAAACAGG